rnacentral:rRNA from 1 species
AUUGAACGCUGGCGGCAGGCCUAACACAUGCAAGUCGAGCGGAGCGGCGGACGGGUGAGUAAUGCCUAGGAAUCAGCCUGGUAGUGGGGGAUAACGUACGGAUACGGGCGGUAAUACCGCAUACUAGCAGAUGAGCCUAGGUGGGAUUAGCUAGUUGGUGGGGGAAAGGCCUACCAAGGCGACGAUCCCUACCUUGUCUGAGAGGAUGAUCAGUCACACUGGAACUGAGACACGGUCCAGACUCCUACGGGAGGCAGCAGUGGGGAAUAUUGGACAAUGGGCGAAAGCCUGAUCCAGCCAUGCCGCGUGUGUGAAGAAGGUCUUCGGAUUGUAAAGCACUUUAAGUUGGGAGGCGUUACCAACAGAAUAAGCACCGGCUAACUUCGUGCCAGCAGCCGCGGUAAUAC